rnacentral:lncRNA from 1 species
CGUGGAGGCUUGGAGUGGGCAUCCUCUCCUUGGGCGUGCGAUUCCCUUAGGCAUCCUCUCCUCUUGGCGUCCUCCUCCUUGUGGUGUGGCAUGUGGGCUCCUUCCUAGGCUUCGAGAUCUGAUCUCAAAGUCCUCCUCUCUUUCCUUCCUGAAGAGAUCUUCAUCCCUUCUUCCUACAUUGGUUGGCAUGCGAGUGAAGUA